UACAGAGGUCUCGAGCGUUAGGCGGAAUCACUGGGCUUAAAGCGUGUGUAGGCGGACGUCUAAGUGCCUUGUGAAAUCCCACGGCUUAACCGUGGAACUGCUGGGCAUACUGGACGUCUUGAGCCACCUAGGGGCUACUGGAACAAAUGGUGGAGCGGUGAAAUGCGUAGAUAUCAUUUGGAACGCCAAUGGUGAAAACAGGUAGCUGGGGGUGUGCUGACGCUGAGACACGAAAGCCAGGGGAGCGAACGGG
rnacentral:rRNA from 1 species